GACGAACCGUCCGAACGAUAUUCGGAAUCACUGGGCUUAAAGGGUGCGUAGGAGGCGCGGAAAGUUGGGUGUGAAAUCCCACGGCUCAACCGAGGAACUGCGCACAAAACUACCGUGCUCGAGGGAGAUAGAGGUGAGCGGAACUUAGGGUGGAGCGGUGAAAUGCGUUGAUAUCCUAAGGAACACCGGUGGCGAAAGCGGCUCACUUGAUCUCUUCUGACGCUGAGGAACGAAAGCUAGGGUAGCGAACGGG
rnacentral:rRNA from 1 species